rnacentral:lncRNA from 1 species
UUGGCUUAAAAUUGGUGUUAAAGAGCAACUGUACCACUGAUAUUUUGAUUUCAUACAAUUUAGCCUUUGCUGGUAGCUUGUACAAGUCAUGUUUCAUAAAGAAAACUUGCUCCAAACAUCAAAUUUUGAUUUAGAACACUUUUCUGCAAAUUGGCCAUUCAAAUCGCCAUUUUAUUUCUGAUAUAAGCCAUGAUGCAUACAACAUAAGCCAUGAAAAGCUUCAUACCACAUUACUGAAAUCAAAAACCACUGAAAUCAAAACAUCCCCACUAAUACAAGUUUCACCCAACUUUCAGCAACAGUGACACUAAAAUUACAUUGAAAAUAAAGUUCACAAACAACAUCCCCACUAAGAUUUUAAACCACUUUUCCAACCUAAGUAAGGUUUUCUCCAUAGAAGCCAUUCUCAUCUUUUCACGAUAACUUUCUUCCAUACUCAUCAAACCCCCUUCUUCACCUCGUGCAGUAGCACUCCUUUCUUCUACCACUCCUUCAUUUCCUUCUUCAAAGCACCACUCAAAGAAGUUGCACCCAACCAAUUCGUCACUCCCACCCUAUUCAAGAACAACACAAAGUCCUCCGUCAAAAUCCAAAAUUUAGGGCAACCCCAAAAGUUAGGGCACCCCCAAAAUUUUUUUCCCCUUGUUCUUAGGUGUUCUGGCAAUUCGAAACACUGCAUUCUGACCACAAAAGCAUGUUGGUUUUGCACCCAACCUCUUCACACUCCCAGUACUGUGUUGCAUGGACGAACCCAAACAUUUACAAGAGGUUGAUGAACGAGACAUAUCCUUAGGAGCACCUCAAGAACACAAUGCUUGACUACAGCUCUUCUUACCCAAGAUGAAUGAAAGACCUCUUCUUCCCUAACUCGACAAUUAAGUAAGGAUGAGAGGGGAUUCCCUUAAAUCUUAGGGCUUCGUCAUCCUCGAAAGGCAUUAUAUUUUAUUUCACAUUGACACGUGGUAAAAACAAAAAUUACAACUCAUCAACACUUAACGCCGUCUGCUACCACUUAACGAAUGAG